rnacentral:rRNA from 1 species
CAGCCGCCGCGGGAAUACAGAGGGUGCGAGCGUUAAUCGGAUUUACUGGGCGUAAAGCGUGCGUAGGCGGCUUUUUAAGUCGGAUGUGAAAUCCCUGAGCUUAACUUAGGAAUUGCAUUCGAUACUGGGAAGCUAGAGUAUGGGAGAGGAUGGUAGAAUUCCAGGUGUAGCUGUGAAAUGCGUAGAGAUCUGGAGGAAUACCGAUGGCGAAGGCAGCCAUCUGGCCUAAUACUGACGCUGAGGUACGAAAGCAUGGGGAGCAAACAGGAUUAGAUACCCCCGUAGUCCCUGUCUCUUAUAC